UCUCCAUCCCUAACCUGCAACAGGAAGAUAACAAGUGGCAUGUAUCUUCACUGGCAGGACAUUAAAAAACAAACAAACUUCAAAACUGGGGGAGGUGAGACUAUUUUUGCAUAUAAAAUAAGACCAGAAUUAGGAAGAGCAUUACAUAAUAAAAAUAAACGAGUUCUGAUGUUUGGGGAGAGGACUUUUUUUCUUGCUACUUUGAUGCCAUUUUUCGACCUCGUGGUGGGCAGAAGUGACAGCUACCCAUAAGAAAUAAUGGGAAACUCCAGGAUUAUUUAUUAUGGAGCCCCAUCGCGCCCAUUGAGAUCAUCGGAGAGGUUCCUCUGCAGUUGCCACCAGCUUAUCUCAGCGGCGAUACUUCCCUUUUGCUGCUCCGUGACUCUGGAAUGCGCUCCUUGGUGAAAUAAGAACCUCCUCAUCUAUCAGGCAGCAGCGAUAUAGGAAGGUGCUGAAAGGCAUAACCUCAUAGUGCGCGGGAGAUGGCAAUGGUAAACUCCGCCAGGCAAUGGUGGAAAAGCAGCUGGGUGUGUGAUUUUGACAGGAAAAUGAACAAGAACUCCUGAGCUGACAUUGACCUUCCUCCUGGGCAGAGCUCUAGAGACACUAUCACCACCACACCCGGUGCUCUUUUUCUCUCUCCUUUCUAAACAGAUUUUGUGAAAACAAUGUCAUUCUGGUUUAAUCUGACUCUUUAUUCCCCCAAGCCAUUUUAUUUAUGUGUUUAUUAGACUGUGAGCUUCUUGGAGACAGGAAUAUUAACAUUUAAAAACAAAAUGUUCUAAGCAGAACUAAUGUUUUGUACACCACUCUGGGCUCCUUGGAGAUAGAGCGGGAUAUAAAUGUAGUAAAUAAAAUAAAAAAAUAAUGGAGCAUCACACUGUUUUCCAUAUGAUGGAUCAUAAGAUUCACUCCUUGAAGGUGUUGUGGAAAUGAUCACCACUUAUGGCCAGUUUGGAUCCAAUUUAACUGUAAGAUUUAAUUAUAUUUUUGAAUGAAUGAAUGAAUACAUUAAAUUAAAUAAUUCUC